AAGUCGUAACAAGGUUUCCGUAGGUGAACCUGCGGAAGGAUCAUUACCAUAUCCAAAACUUUACCAACCCACCGUGUGAACUGUUUGUAUGCUGUGGCUUUGUUGCAAAACACGCCCGGCAUCCAUUUUUCCAUGUUUCUCCAUUCUGUGGAGAAGCAUGGAGCCCUAUGAUAACGCUUUUGAAACCGACCAUUGAAAACCUGAUGGUGUUUUUCUUCUUCGGGAGAAGAACCAUUGCAAAAACAAAACCAAUAGACAACUUACAACGGUGGAUCUCUUGGCUCGU
rnacentral:misc_RNA from 1 species